rnacentral:rRNA from 1 species
CCUACGGGAGGCUGCAGUGGGGAAUAUUGCACAAUGGGCGCAAGCCUGAUGCAGCCAUGCCGCGUGUGUGAAGAAGGCCUUCGGGUUGUAAAGCACUUUCAGCGGGGAGGAAGGCGGUGAGGUUAAUAACCUCAUCGAUUGACGUUACCCGCAGAAGAAGCACCGGCUAACUCCGUGCCAGCAGCCGCGGUAAUACGGAGGGUGCAAGCGUUAAUCGGAAUUACUGGGCGUAAAGCGCACGCAGGCGGUCUGUCAAGUCGGAUGUGAAAUCCCCGGGCUCAACCUGGGAACUGCAUUCGAAACUGGCAGGCUAGAGUCUUGUAGAGGGGGGUAGAAUUCCAGGUGUAGCGGUGAAAUGCGUAGAGAUCUGGAGGAAUACCGGUGGCGAAGGCGGCCCCCUGGACAAAGACUGACGCUCAGGUGCGAAAGCGUGGGGAGCAAGCAGGAUUAGAUACCCUUGUAGUC